GACGAACGCUGGCGGUGUGCUUAACACAUGCAAGUCGAACGGAAAGGCCCUUUCGUUGGUACUCGCGUGGCAAACGCGUGCGUAACACGUGAGUAACCUGCCCUCAUCUCUGGGAUAGCAAUCGGUAACGGAUACUGAUACUAGAUAUGAGCUUUCUAGUCAUCCUCUGGGUUGGAAAGAUUUUUUUUGGUUGGGGAUGGAGUCGCGACGUAUCAGCUUGUUGGUGAGGUAGUGGCUCACCAAGGCUUAGACGGGUAACCGGCCUGAGAGGGCGACGAGCCACAUUGGGCUCGAGAGACAGGCCACAGUCCGACGUGAGGCAGAAGUGGGGAAUAUUGGACAAUGGACGGAAGCGUGAUGCAGGAACGUCGCGUGCGGGAGGACGGCCUUUGGGUUGUAAACAGCUAUCAAUAGUGAGGAAGGCUCUUCGUGACGGUAGCAGUAGAAGAAGCAACGGCUAACUACGUG
rnacentral:rRNA from 1 species